rnacentral:SRP_RNA from 1 species
GCCGGGUGUGGUGGCUCACGCCUGUAAUCCCAGCAUUUUGGGAGGCCGAGGUGGGCGGAUCACUUGAGGUCAGGAGUUGGAGACCAGCCUGGCCAACAUGGUGAAAACCCAUCUCUA